rnacentral:rRNA from 1 species
GACGAACGCUGGCGGCGUGCUUAACACAUGCAAGUCGAACGAAGUGGCGAACGGGUGAGUAACGCGUAAUCAACCUGCCCUUCAGAGGGGGACAACAGUUGAAAACGACUGCUAAUACCGCAUACUGAAGGGGGGGCAUGCGUCUGAUUAGCUAGUUGGAGGGGUAACGGCCCACCAAGGCGAUGAUCAGUAGCCGGUCUGAGAGGGAGAACGGCCACAUUGGGACUGGGGCACGGCCCAGACUCCUACGGGAGGCAGCAGUUGGGAAACUUCCGCAAUGGACGAAAGUCUGACGGAGCAACGCCGCGGGAGUGAUGACGGCCUUCGGGUUGUAAAGCUCUGUUAAUCGGGACGCGGUACCGGAAUAGAAAGCCACGGCUAACUACGUGCCAGCAGCCGCGGUAAUAC